rnacentral:rRNA from 1 species
UACGUAGGGGGCAAGCGUUUGUCCGGAUUUAUUGGGCGUAAAGAGCGUGUAGGCGGUUAGGUAGGUCCGUUGUGAAAACUCGAGGCUCAACCUCGAGACGCCGAUGGAAACCAUCUAACUAGAGUCCGGAAGAGGAGAAUGGAAUUCCUGGUGUAGCGGUGGAAAUGCGCAGAUAUCAGGAAGAACACCCGUGGCUAAGGCGGUUCUCUGGGACGGUACUGACGCUGAGACGCGAAAGCGUGGGGAGCGAACAGG